rnacentral:rRNA from 1 species
GCCCAAAACUCAGCCAACUAAACCACACAAAAACCCCCCCCCACACAAACUAAAACAUUCAACUUGACUAGUAAAUGCGAUUAAACAUCACCAUUGGCCUUAUAUGUACCGUAAGGGAAUAAUGAAAGAAUAAUGAAAAACUUAAAGCACAACACAGUAAAGAUUAACCCCUGUACCUCUUGCAUCAUGGUCUAGCAAAACCCCUUCAGACAGAGUGAUUCUUUAGCCUGCCCCCCCGAAACCAAACGAGCUAUUUUUAGGCAGCAAUAAACUGAGCGCACCCAUCUCUGUAGCAAAAGAGUGGGAAGACCUAAAAAUAGGGGCAAAAAGCCUACCGAGCUUGGUGAUAGCUGGUUACUCGAUAAAAGAACUUAAGUUCAACUUUAGGAAACACAUGAAAUACUUUAGACUUCCGCCUCCAAACCUAAAGAAAAUCAAUGGGGGUACAGCCCCAUUGAACCGGGAUACAGCCCGAAUAGAGAGUAAACCAUAAAUUAUUUUCUGUGGGCCUCAAAGCAGCCACCAAAAAUCGCGUUAUAGCACGAACUAAAUAAUUCCAACAAUCAACAAAACCUCCUAAAAUACCCUGAGUUAUUCUAUAUCAAUAUAGAAAUACCAAUGCUAAAAUUAGUAAUAAGAAAUAAUUAUUUCUCUCAGCAUUCCCUUAAAUCAGAUUAGAAAAACUACUGACAAUUAACAAACAACUAAACAGACCACAAUACCUAGUUAAAGUCUUACCUAUCUUGUUACCCCAACACAGGCAUGCAGAAAAGAAAGGUUAAAACCUGUAAAAGGAACUCGGCAAACUUAAGUCCCAACUGUUUACCAAAAACAUAGCCUUUAGCCUUACAAGUAUUAAAGGUCCCGCCUGCCCAGUGACUCUUUUAAACGGCCGCGGUAUCCUAACCGUGCAAAGGUAGCAUAAUCACUUGUCCCCUAAAUAGGGACUAGAAUGAACGGCUAAAUGAGGACUACUCUGUCUCUCACGGGUGACCAAUGAAAUUAAUCUUCUAGUUCAAAAGCUAGAAUAAAUACAUAAGACGAGAAGACCCUGUGGAGCUUCAAAACCAGACCACCAGACAUGCUUCCUCGGAUUUUUAGUUGGGGCGACUUCGGAGCAUAAAAAACCCUCCAAAUAUAUUUUUGUUAAGAUUAACACAUCAAAAUAACUAUAUCAGACCCAGCAAUUUUACUCAAAUAUUGUCUGAUCAAUGAACCAAGUUACCCCAGGGAUAACAGCGCCAUCCCCUCCCAGAGUCCAUAUCGACAAGGGGGUUUACGACCUCGAUGUUGGAUCAGGACACCCCAAUGGUGCAGCCGCCAUUAAAGGUUCGUUUGUUCAACGAUUAAAGUCCUACGUGAUCUGAGUUCAGACCGGAGAAAUCCAGGUCGGUUUCUAUCUAUGCAGCACUAUCCUCAGUACGAAAGGACCAAGAUAGUGGGACCACUACUAAAAGAAUGUCCCAAUAAAAACUGCUGACUACCACUAAAGCAGUAAAUAUGCUACCCCCUAGCCCAAAACCAGGGCUU